CGAACUUCCGUUAAUUGAUUAUGACGUACUUGUACUGAUUGAGAUUUUAACACGAAGUGAGUGGCGAACGGGUGAGUAACACGUGGGUAACCUGCCCAGAAGUAGGGGAUAACACCUGGAAACAGAUGCUAAUACCGUAUAACAGAGAAAACCGCAUGGUUUUCUUUUAAAAGAUGGCUCUGCUAUCACUUCUGGAUGGACCCGCGGCGUAUUAGCUAGUUGGUGAGGUAAAGGCUCACCAAGGCAGUGAUACGUAGCCGACCUGAGAGGGUAAUCGGCCACAUUGGGACUGAGACACGGCCCAGACUCCUACGGGAGGCAGCAGUAGGGAAUCUUCCACAAUGGACGCAAGUCUGAUGGAGCAACGCCGCGUGAGUGAAGAAGGGUUUCGGCUCGUAAAGCUCUGUUGUUAAAGAAGAACGUGGGUAAGAGUAACUGUUUACCCAGUGACGGUAUUUAACCAGAAAGCCACGGCUAACUACGUGCCAGCAGCCGCGGUAAUACGUAGGUGGCAAGCGUUAUCCGGAUUUAUUGGGCGUAAAGCGAGCGCAGGCGGUCUUUUAAGUCUAAUGUGAAAGCCUUCGGCUCAACCGAAGAAGUGCAUUGGAAACUGGGAGACUUGAGUGCAGAAGAGGACAGUGGAACUCCAUGUGUAGCGGUGAAAUGCGUAGAUAUAUGGAAGAACACCAGUGGCGAAGGCGGCUGUCUGGUCUGCAACUGACGCUGAGGCUC
rnacentral:rRNA from 1 species